rnacentral:rRNA from 1 species
AUUGAACGCUGGCGGCAGGCCUAACACAUGCAAGUCGAACGGUAACAGGAAGCAGCUUGCUGCUUCGCUGACGAGUGGCGGACGGGUGAGUAAUGUCUGGGAAACUGCCCGAUGGAGGGGGAUAACUACUGGAAACGGUAGCUAAUACCGCAUAACGUCCCAAGACCAAAGAGGGGGACCUUAGGGCCCCUUGCCAUCGGAUAUGCCCAGAUGGGAUUAGCGAGUAGGUGGGGUAACGGCUCACCUAGGCGACGAUCCCUAGCUGGUCUGAGAGGAUGACCAGCCACACUGGAACUGAGACACGGUCCAGACUCCUACGGGAGGCAGCAGUGGGGAAUAUUGCACAAUGGGUGCAAGCCUGAUGCAGCCAUGCCGCGUGUAUGAAGAAGGCCUUCGGGUUGUAAAGUACUUUCAGCGGGGAGGAAGGGAGUAAAGUUAAUACCUUGGCUCAUUGACGUUACCCGCAGAAGAAGCACCGGCUAACUCCGUG